AUUGAACGCUGGCGGCAUGCCUUACACAUGCAAGUCGAACGGCAGCACGGGAGCAAUCCUGGUGGCGAGUGGCGAACGGGUGAGUAAUACAUCGGAACGUGCCCAAUCGUGGGGGAUAACGUAGCGAAAGCUACGCUAAUACCGCAUACGAUCUACGGAUGAAAGCAGGGGAUCGCAAGACCUUGCGCGAAUGGAGCGGCCGAUGGCAGAUAGGUAGUUGGUGGGGUAAAGGCUCACCAAGCCGACGAUCUGUAGCUGGUCUGAGAGGACGACCAGCCACACUGGGACUGAGACACGGCCCAGACUCCUACGGGAGGCAGCAGUGGGGAAUUUUUGGACAAUGGGCGCAAGCCUGAUCCAGCCAUGCCGCGUGCAGGAUGAAGGCCUUCGGUUGUAA
rnacentral:rRNA from 1 species